CGUGUAGGCGGUCAGAUAAGUCCGCUGUGAAAUCUCGAGGCUCAACUUCGAGCUGUCGGUGGAAACUGUCUGGCUAGAGUCCGGAAGAGGAGAAUGGAAUUCCUGGUGUAGCGGUGAAAUGCGCAGAUAUCAGGAAGAACACCCGUGGCGAAGGCGGUUCUCUGGGACGGUACUGACGCUGAGACGCGAAAGCGUGGGAGCGAACA
rnacentral:rRNA from 1 species